rnacentral:rRNA from 1 species
UACGUAGGGACCAAGCGUUGUCCGGAAUCAUUGGGCGUAAAGAGCGUGUAGGCGGCUUGUUAAGUCUUGCGUGAAAUCUCGGGGCUCAACCCCGAGCGGUCGUGAGAAACUGGCAGGCUAGAGUGCGGGAGAGGAGAGUGGAAUUCCUGGUGUAGCGGUGAAAUGCGCAGAUAUCAGGAAGAACACCGAUGGCGAAGGCAGCCCCCUGGGCUAACACUGACGCUCAGGCACGAAAGCGUGGGGAGCAAACAGG